rnacentral:rRNA from 1 species
UACGUAGGGUGCAAGCGUUGUCCGGAAUUAUUGGGCGUAAAGAGCUCGUAGGCGGUCUGUCACGUCGGCUGUGAAAACCCGAGGCUCAACCUCGGGCCUGCAGUCGAUACGGGCAAACUAGAGUACUGCAGGGGAGACUGGAAUUCCUGGUGUAGCGGUGAAAUGCGCAGAUAUCAGGAGGAAUACCGGUGGCGAAGGCGGGUCUCUGGGCAGUAACUGACGCUGAGGAGCGAAAGCGUGGGGAGCGAACAGG